UAUCUGGUUGAUCCUGCCAGUAUUAUAUGCUGAUAUUAAAGAUUAAGCCAUGCAUGUGUAAGUAUAAGUUAAAUAAUGCGAAACUGCGGAAGGCUCAUUAUAACAGUUAUAGUUUUGAUGGUUAGUAAAAAAAGGAUAACUCUUGUUAAUUGCAGAGCUAAUACUUGAAUUUACUAUAAUCUAUAUGAUUAUACGUAAUAAAGCAAUUUAUUACAUAGGAAUAGCUUUUUGAGAAGAAGGUUAAAUUGAGAAUUGAUGAAACUUAAAUGUUUUUACAAGUAACUGUUUUAAAUAUCUGACCUAUCAACUUGAAGGUAUGAUAGAGGCAUACCUAAGUGAUAACGGGUAACGAGAAAUAAGGGUUUGAUUUCGGAGAGGGAGCUUUA
rnacentral:rRNA from 1 species